rnacentral:rRNA from 1 species
UACGUAGGGUGCGAGCGUUGUCCGGAAUUAUUGGGCGUAAAGGGCUCGUAGGCGGUUUGUCGCGUCGGGAGUGAAAACUCAGGGCUUAACCCUGAGCCUGCUUCCGAUACGGGCAGACUAGAGGUAUGCAGGGGAGAAUGGAAUUCCUGGUGUAGCGGUGAAAUGCGCAGAUAUCAGGAGGAACACCGGUGGCGAAGGCGGUUCUCUGGGCAUUACCUGACGCUGAGGAGCGAAAGUGUGGGGAGCGAACAGG